rnacentral:rRNA from 1 species
UAACACGUACGGGAACCUGCCCAUGCGGCCGGACAACUUACCGGAAACGGAUCCUGAUACCGGAUAAGGAAGCGAAGGCAUCUUUGUCUUUGUUAAAGGAGCUGCAAGGCUCCGCGCAUGGAUGGACCUGCGGUGCAUUAGCUGGUUGGUGAGGUAAAGGCUCACCAAGGCGACGAUGCAUAGCCGGCCUGAGAGGGCGAACGGCCACACUGGGACUGAGACACGGCCCAGACUCCUACGGAAGGCAGCAG